rnacentral:rRNA from 1 species
UACAGAGGUCCCAAGCGUUGUUCGGAUUCAUUGGGCGUAAAGGGUGCGUAGGCGGCGCGGUAAGUCGGGUGUGAAAUCUCGGGGCUUAACUCCGAAACUGCAUUCGAUACUGCCGUGCUUGAGGACUGGAGAGGAGACUGGAAUUUACGGUGUAGCAGUGAAAUGCGUAGAUAUCGUGAGGAAGACCAGUGGCGAAGGCAGGUCUCUGGACAGUUCCUGACGCUGAGGCGCGAAGGCCAGGGGAGCAAACGGG